rnacentral:rRNA from 1 species
UACAGAGGGUGCGAGCGUUGUCCGGAAUCACUGGGCGUAAAGGGCGCGUAGGCGGCUUGAUAAGCGUGCGGUGAAAGCCCGGGGCUCAACCCCGGGUCGGCCGUGCGAACUGUCGAGCUGGAGCACUGUAGAGGCAGGUGGAAUUCCGGGUGUAGCGGUGGAAUGCGUAGAGAUCCGGAAGAACACCGGUGGCGAAGGCGGCCUGCUGGGCAGUGGCUGACGCUGAGGCGCGACGAGCGUGGGGAGGCAAACAGG